CCUACGGGUGGCAGCAGUGAGGAAUAUUGGUCAAUGGGCGCGAGCCUGAACCAGCCAAGUAGCGUGAAGGAUGACUGCCCUACGGGUUGUAAACUUCUUUUAUAAAGAAAUAAAGUGAGGCACGUGUGCCUUUUUGUAUGUACUUUAUCAAUAAGGAUCGGCUAACUACAGGCCAGCCGCCGCGGUUAUACGUAGGGGUCAAGCGUUAUCCGGAUUUAUUGGGUUUAAAGGGAGCGUAGGUGGAUUGUUAAGUCAGGUGUGAAAGUUUGCGGCUCAACCGUAACAGUGCAGUUGAAACUGGCAGUCUUGAGUACAGUAGAGGUGGGCGGAAGUCGUGGUGUAGCGGUGAAAUGCU
rnacentral:rRNA from 1 species